rnacentral:rRNA from 1 species
GACGAACGCUGGCGGUGUGCUUAACACAUGCAAGUCGAACGGAAAGGCCCUGCUUUUGUGGGGUGCUCGUGUGGCGAACGGGUGAGUAACACGUGAGUAACCUGCCCUUGACUUUGGGAUAACUUCAGGAAACUGGGGCGAAUACCGGAUAGGAGCUCCUGCUGCAUGGUAUGGGUUGGAAAGUUUCGGCGGUUGGGGAUGGACUCGCGGCUUAUCAGCUGGUUGGUGGGGUAGUGGCUUACCAAGGCUUUGACGGGUAGCCGGCCUGAGAGGGUGACCGGCCACAUUGGGACUGAGAUACGGCCCAGACUCGUACGGGAGGCAGCAGUGGGGAAUAUUGCACAAUGGGCGGAAGCCUGAUGCAGCAACGCCGCGUGCGGGAUGACGGCCUUCGGGUUGUAAACCGCUUUCGAAUGUGACGAAGCGUGAGUGACGGUAAUGGGUAAAGAAGCAACGGCUAACUACGUG